CUAGGAAGUAAAACUGUAAAGAAAGACAGCAAUUUUGGUACGCAUUCUUUUACAUUAGCCCUAACAGUAUCGAAAUCUUCUUUUGAAAACUCAUCCUGAACAUGUAAGUCAAUGAGUUCUAUAAAGUGUUGAUAAUCUAUAACUUCUCUAGGAUUGUUAGUAAAAUCGGACAAGUAGUUGAUAAAUUCCAUGUCAAAGGUAU